rnacentral:rRNA from 1 species
AUACGUAGGGGGCAAGCGUUAUCCGGAAUUACUGGGUGUAAAGGGAGAGUAGGCGGCAUGGUAAGUUAGAUGUGAAAGCCUAGGGCUUAACCUUAGGAUUGCAUUUAAAACUAUCAAGCUAGAGUACAGGAGAGGAAAGCGGAAUUCCUAGUGUAGCGGUGAAAUGCGUAGAUAUUAGGAAGAACACCAGUGGCGAAGGCGGCUUUCUGGACUGAAACUGACGCUGAGGCUCGAAAGCGUGGGGAGCGAACAGGAUUAGAUACCCUGGUAGUCCACGCCGUAAACGAUGAGUGCUAGGUGUCGGAGGGGAACCUUCGGUGCCGCAGCUAACGCAAUAAGCACUCCACCUGGGGAGUACGAUCGCAAGAUUGAA